UACGUAGGGGGCUAGCGUUGUCCGGAAUCAUUGGGCGUAAAGAGCGUGUAGGCGGCUCGGUAAGUCCGCUGUGAAAGUCCAGGGCUCAACCCUGGAAUGCCAGUGGAAACUGUCGAGCUAGAGUCCGGAAGAGGCGAGUGGAAUUCCUGGUGUAGCGGUGAAAUGCGCAGAUAUCAGGAGGAACACCGAUUGCGAAGGCAGCUUA
rnacentral:rRNA from 1 species